rnacentral:sRNA from 1 species
GAUUAUUGGCGGCUCCUUAACAAGAAGGUUUCAAACUAAGGAUCCUGAUAAUAUUGAGUCUCACUCGAACUCAAUGAUCUCUAAAGUUUCUUUUAAAUUCAACAACACUUUAUCGGCUAACAAAACUGUGGAGGACACUGAACUCUCUGGUGACUCAAAGUAUCAAGAAGGUGGUUUGGAUCUGGAAAAAAAAUUCAAAUUGAAAGUAAGCAAAGAUGAGUACGAUUUUAUUAU